rnacentral:tRNA from 1 species
GCCGCCUUAGCUCAGUCGGUAGAGCACGUCAUUCGUAAUGACGGGGUCGCGUGUUCGAGUCACGCAGGCGGCACCA